AAACUGAAGAGUUUGAUCCUGGCUCAGAUUGAACGCUGGCGGUAUGCUUAACACAUGCAAGUCGAACGGCAGCACGAGGAGAGUUUACUCUCUUCGGUGGCGAGUGGCGGACGGGUGAGUAAUGCAUAGGAAUCUACCUUUUAGUCUAGGAUAACUACCCGAAAGGGUGGCUAAUACUGGAUGUGGACUACGGUUUAAAGCAGGGGAUCUUCGGACCUUGCGCUAAGAGAUGAGCCUAUGUGGGAUUAGCUAGUU
rnacentral:rRNA from 1 species